rnacentral:rRNA from 1 species
UACGUAGGGUGCGAGCGUUGUCCGGAAUUACUGGGCGUAAAGCGUGCGUAGGUGGUUCGUUAAGUCUGAUGUGAAAGCCCUGGGCUCAACCUGGGAAUGGCAUUGGAUACUGGCGACCUAGAGUGCGGUAGAGGGGUGUGGAAUUCCCGGUGUAGCAGUGAAAUGCGUAGAUAUCGGGAGGAACAUCUGUGGCGAAGGCGACACCCUGGACCAGCACUGACACUGAGGCACGAAAGCGUGGGGAGCAAACAGG